GCUAGGGAUUAGCUCAGUUGGGAGAGUGUUUGCCUUGCAAGCACAAGGCCCUGGGUUCCAUCCCCAGCCUGCA
rnacentral:tRNA from 1 species